GUGCUUACUUUGGCAGCACAUAUACUAUAAUUGGAAUGAUGCAGAGAAGAUUAGCAUGAUCACUGAGCAAGGAUGACAUGAAAAACUAUUUUAAAAAAACGAAACAAAA